GUGAAUCAUCGAAUUUUUGAACGCAUAUUGCACUCUCUGGUAUUCCGGAGAGCAUGCCUAUUCGAGGGUCAUUUGAACUAAUAUAAAUUCCAAGAUUUUUCGGAAUUUUCAAUGGGUUGCCCGUUUUUUGUGGUCGUCUAAAAUCCAAGACAAGCUCAUUUUCUUGGGCUGCGUGAUACUCUCAGUUACCUCCUGACU
rnacentral:misc_RNA from 1 species